AUUGAACGCUGGCGGCAUGCCUUACACAUGCAAGUCGAACGGUAACAGGUCUUCGGAUGCUGACGAGUGGCGAACGGGUGAGUAAUACAUCGGAACGUGCCUAGUAGUGGGGGAUAACUACUCGAAAGAGUGGCUAAUACCGCAUGAGAUCUACUGAUGAAAGCAGGGGAUCGCAAGACCUUGUGCUACUAGAGCGGCCGAUGGCAGAUUAGGUAGUUGGUGGGAUAAAAGCUUACCAAGCCGACGAUCUGUAGCUGGUCUGAGAGGACGAUCAGCCACACUGGGACUGGGACACGGCCCAGACUCCUACGGGAGGCAGCAGUGGGGAAUGUUGGACAAUGGGCGCAAGCCUGAUCCAGCAAUGCCGCGUGCAGGAUGAAGGCCUUCGGGUUGUAAACUGCUUUUGUACGGAACGAAAAGCCCUGGGUUAAUACCCUGGGGUCAUGACGGUACCGUAAGAAUAAGCACCGGCUAACUACGUGCCAGCCGCCGCCGUAACAC
rnacentral:rRNA from 1 species